UUAGUGUUUUUUACUCACCGGGUUACGGGUUAUUCAAUUGAAAAUGUGCUUAAUAUCAUAUUUUUCUGCGGAAACUGCAUAAUUAGUGCAGCUGAUGUCAAACAUGAUGUAGAAUAUGUUUCGAUCCCCUAGGUGGCAUUAAUUGCCAUUAUAUGUCUGAAGAGUGGCUCACGGCUAAAAAUAAGCAUUCUGCCAUUGCAGCAAUAAACACACGUGGUUAUGUGCAUGGAUUAGUACAACCAACAGUGGGAUAUUCAUAGACAUCUUUACAGAUUUACACUCUGAAAAUGGUAAAAAGAAGGAACGGUCCAACGUGAACUCAGUUCUCACAGUCAACUUGACAGGACUCGCACAUUGUGUGAAUGUCCCAUGUUGUUGAUCUUUAAUUUAAAUUGUCACAGUUUUUCUAAAGCGACUGUACCGCCUGAUCUCGAGGACUGAGGAGAACCUUGAAGAAUAUCGCCAGACUUCAGUGUCCAGUAGACAAGCAGAAGCUGAAGGUCUGAGGAGGCUGUGAGUGUGAAAUAUUUGACACAUGCAACACAACAAGGCAUCACACCGGUAACACCUUUCCUAACACCAGAAGACUGGCAGCUUAAUGCAACACUUAUUGAUUAUUUAUAUCAUAUGACUGGAAAGAUUUUUCAAGGCGCCAUCUCUUUAACUUUAUGCUUUCCAGGAGGAGCUGGCCAACGCUCCCCUCUCCAGGUACACGAAGGUGCAACAUGAGACAGCUGACAUCGCUGAGUCUCAGUUGAAAAAGCUGUGAGAGUGUCAGGAUAUUUUCGCCUGUACAGCAAGGAACUUCUGUAUCUUUACAUCUUAAUAAAGUGUGUAACCGGU